UUAUAAUACAUUAUGGAAAGACAAUAGAAAAGUCUAUCAUUGAUCAUCUUUGAGGGCGUGAGAGUUUAAAUAGCGAUCAUAUAGUAUUAAUAUUAACGAAGGACGAACAAUAUUAUUCGUACUUUCUAAUGCAUAUGGUAUUGUCGACGGAAGAGGAUGAAUCGUCCAUUUGCGGAAAUAAACGCCCUCGUGCACGAAACGCAAAACGAAACAGUUCCGGUCAACGUCCCUAAGCUAUUACUAAUGAUGAUAUACGUAUUUUGUUGAUGUGAUGUUUGAUUUUUAUGUUUGGUCAAGAUACAAAAUUUUAAUCAAAGUAAUUAUUUAGAUUUAUAUCUUUUGAAUUUUAUUAAAAAGUGUUACAGAAGGAAGGGACGAAGCUUGGAAAACAUAUCCGGACGUAACCAAUGAAUAUCCGCAAUUUUCGUGUAAAGAAAAGAAGAGAGGAAAAAAGAAAGAAGAAAAAAAAAGAGUAUAUUGGUACUCGAGAAGCGAAAGGAAAUAUCCAUGGUCCGGUCACAUCAGGUUGCAUAAUGCGAACCCUCUAUGGCUGUUUACUUAGGGCGAAAUGUGGUUUGUUCCUUCCGUGACAGGCUACAUGUUAAACCAUCCCCCUCAUGAGAGGAUGAAACCUCUUCGUAAAAUCUUACGAUCUCUCUAUCCUAUCCGAGGUUGUAAAAAUCCUUCGACUAUCAUCUCACGCGUCGAUAAUGAGAUAAUAUAAAAAGGAGACAAGGAUUGCUCGUUUAUUGGUAAUUUCUUACUUGAGCGAUAUUUACUCUCUAUACUUAAUUCGGAUGUUGACCCAUAUUGGAAAUUGCCAAGUAUUUUUUUAUUCUCUUGUGCAUUUAUAUUCCAUAAUCU